ACCCUCCUGUACGGGCUAAUGUUUUGUAUCUGAGCACCGAAUACUCAAUGCGCAUCUUGGAGGCUGUGAAACAUAUUUUUAAGCCGUACUUUGAUAAAGCAAGCUGGUUUCAGAACUCCAGCAUGUACCAUUUUAGCAUGUUUCAUGCUUCACAUCAUAUUACACCUGUUCCUGCUACUGAAGAUGAGGUA